rnacentral:rRNA from 1 species
GCUUAGAAGCAGCCACUCAUUUAAAGAGUGCGUAAUAGCUCACUGGUCGAGUGAUCCUGCGCCGAAAAUUUCCGGGGCUAAAACGUACUACCGAAGCUACGGCAUCAUUUAUGAUGGGUAGGAGAGCUUCCCAUACGGGUUGAAGCAUGACCGAAAGGACAUGUGGACUGUAUGGGAGUGAGAAUGUUGGCAUGAGUAGCGAGAUGUGGGUGAGAAUCCCACAGGCCGUAAACCCAAGGUUUCCAGGGGAAGGUUCGUCCGCCCUGGGUUAGUCAGGACCUAAGCCGAGGCCGAAAGGCGUAGGUGAUGGACAACAGGUUGAUAUUCCUGUACCACCAAUAACCGUUUGAGAAAUGGGAUGACACAGUAGGAUAAGCUAACCGCACUGUUGGUUAUGUGCGGGCAAGUAUUGAGGCAGUUCCGAUAGGCAAAUCCGUCGGAAUAAUGCUGGGGUACGAUGCGGAGCGAAAUUUAGUAGCGAAGUAGCUGAUUUCACACUGUCGAGAAAAGUCUCUAUCGAGGUUAAAGGUGCCUGUACCGCAAACCGACACAGGUGGGUGAGGAGAGUAUCCUAAGGCCAGCGAGAGAACUGUUGUUAAGGAACUCGGCAAAAUGACCCCGUAACUUAGGGAGAAGGGGUGCCUUCGAAAGAAGGCCGCAGAGAAUAGGCCCAAGCGACUGUUUACCAAAAACAUAGGUUUCUGCUAAGUCGCAAGACGAUGUAUAGGAGCUGACGCCUGCCCGGUGCUGGAAGGUUAAGGGGAUCUGUUAGAGCAAUCGAAGCAGUGAACUUAAGCCCCAGUAAACGGCGGCCGUAACUAUAACGGUCCUAAGGUAGCGAAAUUCCUUGUCGGGUAAGUUCCGACCCGCACGAAAGGCGUAACGAUUUGGGCACUGUCUCAACAACAGACUCGGUGAAAUUGUAAUACCGGUGAAGAUGCCGGUUACCUGCGACAGGACGGAAAGACCCCAUGGAGCUUUACUGUAGCUUGACAUUGAGUCUCGGUGCUACAUGUACAGGAUAGGUGGGAGACUAUGAAGCAUGGACGUCAGUCUGUGUGGAGUCAUCCUUGGGAUACCACCCUUGUAGUACUGGGAUUCUAACCAGAGGCCAUGAAUCUGGUCUUGGGACACUGUCAGGUGGACAGUUUGACUGGGGCGGUCGCCUCCCAAAAAGUAACGGAGGCGCUCAAAGGUUCUCUCAGUACGGUCGGAAAUCGUACGAAGAGUGUAAAGGCAAAAGAGAGCUUGAUUGCAAGACAUACAGGUCGAGCAAGGACGAAAGUCGGACUUAGUGAUCCGGUGGUACCGCAUGGAAGGGCCAUCGCUCAACGGAUAAAAGCUACCCUGGGGAUAACAGGCUGAUCUCCCCCAAGAGUCCACAUCGACGGGGAGGUUUGGCACCUCGAUGUCGGCUCAUCACAUCCUGGGGCUGUAUUCGGUCCCAAGGGUUCGGCUGUUCGCCGAUUAAAGUGGUACGCGAGCUGGGUUCAGAACGUCGUGAGACAGUUCGGUCCCUAUCCGUCGCAGGCGUAGGAAAUUUGAGGAGACCUGUCCUUAGUACGAGAGGACCGGGAUGGACGUACCGCUGGUGUACCAGUUGUUCUGCCAAGGGCAUGGCUGGGUAGCUAAGUACGGAAAGGAUAAGCGCUGAAAGCAUCUAAGCGCGAAGCCUACUUCGAGAUAAGAUUUCCCACCGCAAGGUUAAGACCCCAUGAAGACUACAUGGUUGAUAGGUCAGAGGUGGAAGUGUGGUAACAUAUGUAGCUUACUGAUACUAAUAGGUCGAGGACUUGACCAA